rnacentral:sRNA from 1 species
AGCAGCCGCAGUAAUUCCAGCUCCAAUAGCGUAUAUUAAAGUUGUUGCAGUUAAAAAGCUCGUAGUUGAAUUUCGGGGUCAGUAGAUUGGUCGUGCCACUGGUAUGUACUGGUCUUACUGGCUCCUCCUUCCUGAUGAACCGUAAUGCCAUUAAUUUGGUGUUGCGGGGAGACUGGACUGUUACUUUGAAAAAUUAGAGUGUUUAAAGCAGGCUAACGCUUGAAUACAUUAGCAUGGAAUAAUGAAAUAGGACGUUCGAUCUUAUUUUGUUGGUUUCUAAGAUUGACGUAAUGAUUAAUAGGGAUAGUUGGGGGCAUUAGUAUUCAAUUGUCAGAGGUGAAAUUCUUGGAUUUAUUGAAGACUAACUACUGCGAAAGCAUUUGCCAAGGAUGUUUUCAUUAAUCAAG